rnacentral:rRNA from 1 species
UGCAGUCGGGGAGAAUGUCGGAGCAAUCCGGCUAGCUAAACCGGCGCACGGGGUGAGAUAACACGGUGGUACAACCUGCCCUGAAGUUCGGGAUAACCCGGUCGAAAGACGGACUAAUACCGGAUAUGACCACGGGGAGUACGCUCUCUGAGGUGAAAGGUGGCCUCUGCUCUGCAAGCUAUCGCUGCAAGAGGGGUCCGCGUCCUAUCAGCUAGUUGGUGAGGUAACGGCUCACCAAGGCUAAGACGGGUAGCUGGUCUGAGAGGAUGGUCAGCCACACUGGGACUGAGACACGGCCCAGAGUCCUACGGGAUGCAGCAGUCAGGAAUAUUGCGCAAUGGAGGAAACUCUGACGCAGCGACGCCGCGUGGGUGAUGAAGGCCUUCGGGUCGUAAAGCCCUGUCGGAGGGAAAGAAAAGUCCGCUGGCUAAUAUCCCGCGGGCCCUUGACGGUACCCUCAAAGGAAGCACCGGCUAACUCCGUGCCAGCAGCCGCGGUAAGACGGAGGGUGCAAGCGUUGUUCGGAUUGACUGGGCGUAAAGGGCGUGUAGGCGGUCGGCUAAGUCUGAUGUGAAAGCCCGGGGCUCAGCCCCGGAAGUGCGUCGGAAACUAACCGGCUGGAGCGCGGUAUAGGAGGGUGGAAUUCCUGGUGUAGCGGUGAAUGCGUAGAUAUCAGGAGGAACACCGGCGGCGAAGGCGGCCCUCUGGACCGUUGCUGACGCUGAGACGCGAAAGCGUGGGUAGCCAAACAAGAUUAGAUACCCUGGUAAGUCCACGCUGUAAACGAUGGGGUACUAAGGUGUUUGGGG